GACGAAGGUGGCUAGCGUUGUUCGGUAUCACUGGGCUUAAAGCGUGUGUAGGCGGAAGAGCAAGCGUUUUGUGAAAGCCCCCGGCUUAACCGGGGAACUGCGUGACGAACUGCUUUUCUUGAGGCAAGUAGGGGUGCAUGGAACUCUUGGUGGAGCGGUGGAAUGCGUAGAUAUCAAGAGGAACGCCAGUGGAGAAAUCGGUGCACUGGGCUUGUCCUGACGCUGAGACACGAAAGCGUGGGGAGCGAACGGGAUUAGAUACCCGUGUA
rnacentral:rRNA from 1 species